rnacentral:lncRNA from 1 species
UUAAUUUUUUAUUACUAUUUUCAUAUAAUAUAUAAAAUAACUGAUUAAACAUAAUUAAAUAAAAAUCAUAAAAAAAAGAAAUAUAAAUAUAAUUUCCAUAUAAAAUUAACAUAUAUAUCGAAAUUGUAUGUAUUAUAAAAAGAUUCAUAAUUUAAGUUUUCAUUUUGUUUCACAUUUUUAAAUUCGUAAAUUAACAAAUUUUUUAUAAGGUUUAAUUGUUCCUUUUUUUGCUCUUUUUUUUGCUCUUUUUUUUUGCUCUUUUUUUUGCUCUUUUUUUUGCUCUUUUUUUCCACUUCGCUUUUUUGUUUUUUCAAAGUUUGCUAUUUCUUCAGUACUAUUUAAUUUUUCAUAGGGGUACAAAUCAUUUUUUAUUUUAUUUGUUUUACUUCUUAAAGAAUAUUUGUUUAUAAAAUUGUUUUCUUUUGUGGUAGUGGUAAUAUUUUUGCUGCUACUGAUUUUGCUGCUAUUGGUUUAUUGCUACUGGUUUUGCUGCUACUGGUUUUGUUGCUACUGAGAGUGUUACAACUGUUACUACUUGAUACAUCAUAAGUACUGCUAAGAUAACCCGUUUCGCUUUUAUAAUUUAUGCUAUUUUCACUUUCGCUACCAAAUAGACUUAAACUUAUAGACGUGUCUAGACAUGAAGCUAUUUCUUCAGCACUGCUAUAACUUUUCAUGUUUUUUUUUUUUUUUUUUUUUUUUUUUUUUUUUUCUUCAGGGUUUAAAGAAACUGAUACUGUUGAUGUUAUGUUGGUACCGUUGUUUAUGUUGGUACCGUUGCUUAUGUUGGUACCAUUGCUUAUGUUGGUACCAUUGCUUAUGUUGUCGUCGUUACUUACGUUAUCACCAUUGCUUAUGUUAUCACUAUUGCUUAUUUUGUCGUCUUUUAUGCCAUUCUCUUACCUUUUCUUAUGUCAUAAUGGUCGUUGUUAUCUAGGCCAUUAUCAGCUACGUUAUUGCAU